rnacentral:rRNA from 1 species
AUUGAACGCUGGCGGCAGGCCUAACACAUGCAAGUCGAACGAGUGGCGGACGGGUGAGUAAUGUCUGGGAAACUGCCUGAUGGAGGGGGAUAACUACUGGAAACGGUAGCUAAUACCGCAUACCAUCAGAUGUGCCCAAAUGGGAUUAGCUUGUUGGUGGGGUAACGGCUCACCAAGGCGACGAUCCCUAGCUGGUAUGAGAGGAUGACCAGCCAAACUGGAAUGUAUACAAGGUCCAGACUCCAACGGGAGGCAUCAGUGGGUAAUAUUGCACAAUGGGCUCAAGCCUGAUGCAGCCAGGCCGCGUGUAUGAAGAAGGCCUGCGGGUUGUAAAGUACUUUCAGCGGGGAGGCGUUACCCGCAGAAGAAGCACCGGCUAACUCCGUGCCAGCAGCCGCGGUAAUUC